rnacentral:rRNA from 1 species
UAGCUAGUUGGUGAGGUAAAGGCUUACCAAGGCGACGAUCUGUAGCGGGUCUGAGAGGAUGAUCCGCCACACUGGAACUGAGACACGGUCCAGACUCCUACGGGAGGCAGCGGUGGGGAAUUUUGGACAAUGGGCGCAAGCCUGAUCCAGCCAUGCCGCGUGAGUGAAGAAGGCCUUCGGGUUGUAAAGCUCUUUCGGCCGGGAAGAAAUCGCAUGGGUUAAUACCCUGUGUGGAUGACGGUACCGGAAUAAGAAGCACCGGCUAACUACGUGCCAGCAGCCGCGGUAAUACGUAGGGUGCGAGCGUUAAUCGGAAUUACUGGGCGUAAAGCGUGCGCAGGCGGUUUUGUAAGACAGGCGUGAAAUCCCCGGGCUUAACCUGGGAACUGCGUUUGUGACUGCAAGACUAGAGUACGGCAGAGGGGGGUGGAAUUCCACGUGUAGCAGUGAAAUGCGUAGAGAUGUGGAGGAACACCAAUGGCGAAGGCAGCCCCCUGGGUCGAUACUGACGCUCAUGCACGAAAGCGUGGGUAGCAAACAGGAUUAGAUACCCUGGUAGUCCACGCCCUAAACUAUGUCAACUAGGUGUUGGGUGGGUAAAACCAUUUAGUACCGUAGCUAACGCGUGAAGUUGACCGCCUGGGGAGUACGGCCGCAAGGUUAAAACUCAAAGGAAUUGACGGGGACCCGCACAAGCGGUGGAUGAUGUGGAUUAAUUCGAUGCAACGCGAAAAACCUUACCUACCCUUGACAUGCCAGGAACCUGCCAGAGAUGGCUUGGUGCCCGAAAGGGAGCCUGGACACAGGUGCUGCAUGGCUGUCGUCAGCUCGUGUCGUGAGAUGUUGGGUUAAGUCCCGCAACGAGCGCAACCCUUGUCGUUAAUUGCCAUCAUUUAGUUGGGCACUUUAGCGAGACUGCCGGUGACAAACCGGAGGAAGGUGGGGAUGACGUCAAGUCCUCAUGGCCCUUAUGGGUAGGGCUUCACACGUCAUACAAUGGUCGGUACAGAGGGUUGCCAACCCGCGAGGGGGAGCCAAUCCCAGAAAGCCGAUCGUAGUCCGGAUUGCAGGCUGCAACUCGCCUGCAUGAAGUCGGAAUCGCUAGUAAUCGCGGAUCAGCAUGCCGCGGUGAAUGCGUUCCCGGGUCUUGUACACACCGCCCGUCACACCAUGGGAGCGGGUUCCGCCAGAAGUAGGUAGCCUAACCGCAAGGAGGGCGCUUACCACGGCGGGGUUCGUGACUGGGGUGAAGUCGGAACAAGGUAGCCGUAGGGGAACCUGCGGCUG